UAAAUCUUUGAUAAUCAAAGAUUUAUCGCUGAAAGAUGAGCUCGCGUCUGAUUAGCUAGUUGGUAAGGUAACGGCUUACCAAGGCGACGAUCAGUAGCCGGACUGAGAGGUUGAUCGGCCACAUUGGGACUGAGACACGGCCCAGACUCCUACGGGAGGCAGCAGUGGGGAAUAUUGCACAAUGGAGGAAACUCUGAUGCAGCGAUGCCGCGUGAGGGAAGAAGGUUUUAGGAUUGUAAACCUCUGUCUUCAGGGACGAAAAAAGACGGUACCUGAGGAGGAAGCUCCGGCUAACUACGUGCCAGCAGCCGCGGUAAUACGUAGGGAGCGAGCGUUGUCCGGAAUUACUGGGUGUAAAGGGAGCGUAGGCGGGAUCGCAAGUCAGAUGUGAAAACUAUGGGCUUAACCCAUAAACUGCAUUUGAAACUGUGGUUCUUGAGUGAAGUAGAGGUAAGCGGAAUUCCUAGUGUAGCGGUGAAAUGCGUAGAUAUUAGGAGGAACAUCAGUGGCGAAGGCGGCUUACUGGGCUUUAACUGACGCUGAGGCUCGAAAGCGUGGGGAGCAAACAGGAUUAGAUACCCUGGUAGUCCACGCCGUAAACGAUGAUUACUAGGUGUGGGGGGACUGACCCCUUCCGUGCCGCAGCAAACGCAAUAAGUAAUCCACCUGGGGAGUACGACCGCAAGGUUGAAACUCAAAGGAAUUGACGGGGGCCCGCACAAGCAGUGGAGUAUGUGGAUUAAUUCGAAGCAACGCGAAGAACCUUACCAGGUCUUGACAUCGUAUGCAUAGCUCAGAGAUGAGUGAAAUCUCUUCGGAGACAUAUAGACAGGUGGUGCAUGGUUGUCGUCAGCUCGUGUCGUGAGAUGUUGGGUUAAGUCCCGCAACGAGCGCAACCCUUACUGUUAGUUGCUACGCAAGAGCACUCUAGCAGGACUGCCGUUGACAAAACGGAGGAAGGUGGGGAUGACGUCAAAUCAUCAUGCCCCCUAUGACCUGGGCCUCACACGUACUACAAUGGCUGUCAACAGAGGGAAGCAAAGCCGCGAGGUGGAGCGAACCCCUAAAAGCAGUCUUAGUUCGGAUUGUAGGCUGCAACCCGCCUACAUGAAGUCGGAAUUGCUAGUAAUCGCAGAUCAGCAUGCUGCGGUGAAUACGUUCCCGGGCCUUGUACACACCGCCCGUCACGCCAUGGGAGUCGGUAACACCCGAAGCCUGUAGUCUAACCGCAAGGAGGACGCAGUCGAAGGUGGGAUUGAUGACUGGGGUGAAGUCGUAACAAGGUA
rnacentral:rRNA from 1 species